rnacentral:rRNA from 1 species
GAUGAACGCUGGCGGCGUGCCUAAUACAUGCAAGUCGAGCGAACGGACGAGAAGCUUGCUUUUCUGAUGUUAGCGGCGGACGGGUGAGUAACACGUGGAUAACCUACCUAUAAGACUGGGAUAACUUCGGGAAACCGGAGCUAAUACCGGAUAAUAUUUUGAACCGCAUGGUUCAAAAGUGAAAGACGGUCUUGCUGUCACUUAUAGAUGGAUCCGCGCUGCAUUAGCUAGUUGGUAAGGUAACGGCUUACCAAGGCAACGAUGCAUAGCCGACCUGAGAGGGUGAUCGGCCACACUGGAACUGAGACACGGUCCAGACUCCUACGGGAGGCAGCAGUAGGGAAUCUUCCGCAAUGGGCGAAAGCCUGACGGAGCAACGCCGCGUGAGUGAUGAAGGUCUUCGGAUAGUAAAACUCUGUUAUUAGGGAAGAACAUAUGUGUAAGUAACUGUGCAAAUCUUGAAGGUACCUAAUCAGAAAGCCACGGCUAACUACGUG